AUUGAACGCUGGCGGCAGGCUUAACACAUGCAAGUCGAGCGGGGGAAGGUAGCUUGCUACUGGACCUAGCGGCGGACGGGUGAGUAAUGCUUAGGAAUCUGCCUAUUAGUGGGGGACAACAUCUCGAAAGGGAUGCUAAUACCGCAUACGUCCUACGGGAGAAAGCAGGGGAUCUUCGGACCUUGCGCUAAUAGAUGAGCCUAAGUCGGAUUAGCUAGUUGGUGGGGUAAAGGCCUACCAAGGCGACGAUCUGUAGCGGGUCUGAGAGGAUGAUCGGCCACACGGGGAGUGAGCAAGGGCCCGGAGUCCUGCGGGAGGCGGCAGUGGGAAAUAUUGGACAGUGGGGGGAACCCUGAUCCAGCCAGGCGGCGGGUGUGAAGAAGGCCUUAUGGUGGUAAAGCACUUUAAGCGAGGAGGAGGCUACUUUAGUUAAUACCUAGAGAUAGUGGACGUUACUCGCAGAAUAAGCACCGGCUAACUCUGUGCCAGCCGCCGCCGUAA
rnacentral:rRNA from 1 species